rnacentral:rRNA from 1 species
GACGAACGCUGGCGGCGUGCUUAACACAUGCAAGUCGAACGGAAAGGCCCCUUUGGGGGUACUCGAGUGGCGAACGGGGGAGUAACACGAGAGUAACCUGCCCUUGACUUCGGGAUAACUUCAGGAAACUGGGGCUAAUACCGGUAAGGAAUACUUGCUGCAUGGGGGGGGUUGGAAAGCUUCGGCGGUUUUGGAUGGACUCGCGGCUUAUCAGCUUGUUGGUGGGGUAGUGGCUUACCAAGGCUUCGUCGGGUAGCCGGCCUGAGCGGGCGACCGGCCACAUUUGGUCUGGGAUACGGCCCUGGCUCCUACGGGAGGCAGCAGGGGGGAAUAUUGCACAAUGGGCGGAUGCCUGAUGCAGCAACGCCGCGUGCGGGAUGACGGCCUUCGGGUUGUAAACCGCUUUCAGCAGGGGCGAAGCUUUUGUGACGGUACCUGCAGAAGAAGCACCGGCUCACUACG